CCUCCUGCCCCUUCCCCACGUGUAAAUGCGUCACAGGCUCUUAGGGGACAGGCUGACCCCCAUGGCUCGAUCUUCCCAAACACUGUCGGGGGCAGGUCUGCCAGGAGUCCUUGCUGAGGCCCUGGGGAAGUUUCCUUUGCUUGGAACAAUUUGGGUAGAAGGUUUCAAAUGAACUGGAGUGAAAAAGCAGAAGAUGAAAACCUGGGCGUGCCCUUCACAAAUGGGAAGAGACACGCGGGCGCACGUCUGUGAGUGUGGGGGCUGGGCUCCGAGUGAGACUUGUUGCGGGAACACAGCACUCCUUGUUCGAGGGUUGGAUCUGACGGAUCCGGGGCCUAAACUGGGAGGCCCUUCACACGAGGCUGUGGUUUCCUUCCUGCCUCGCCAUGAAAAGACUAUUUUUGCCGAGCUGUGUAAGUCUGUGUGUACGCCGGGCACGCAUGGCUGUCGGAUGCCAAGCCCGAAUAGCUGUACUCACACAGCUCAGCGAGACAGCCGCCCAAACAAAGCCGCCCCCCGGGCCCUGGCCGCUGACAGAGGGAAGAGGGGACCACGCUGAGCCCCAGGAAAAUCAAUUUCUGUCUGAUCCCCCCAAACCGAACUCAUGGUCACAGAAGACACCGUGGUUGAUGAAGGCUGGAGCAGGGGUGGAAGGAAGGAGAGAAGGUGAUCUGAGGGCACAAGAGUCCAGAAAACGGAAAGGACAAAUGGCCUCGAAUCCCUCUCAGAAGCGGAUGGGCAACAUCUGGAGAAUACAGCCAGCUAGCCAGUGAGACCCUCAUCCACACCGUCCCCCCACCAGCAGACCUACAUCCCCUCUGGACCCUGAGGCCUCAGGGGGCAGCAGGGGGUCUACGGCCCGGCUCAGAGAAAUGUUUUUGAUGCGUAAAGUAAAAACGUAGGAUCACAGCAACUGCACCACUGUUGUGGAAAUGUUUCUUUAAAAGCACAGUCAUGAGAUAG
rnacentral:lncRNA from 9 species